rnacentral:rRNA from 1 species
AUUGAACGCUGGCGGCAUGCUUUACACAUGCAAGUCGAACGGCAGCAUGACCUAGCUUGCUAGGUUGAUGGCGAGUGGCGAACGGGUGAGUAAUGCACCGGAACGUAUCCAAUAAUGGGGGAUAACGCACCGAAAGGUGUGCUAAUACCGCAUACGCCCUGAGGGGGAAAGCGGGGGACUCGCAAGGGCCUCGCGUUAAUGGAGCGGCCGAUGCCGGAUUAGCUAGUUGGUGGGGUAAGGCCCACCAAGGCGACGAUCCGUAGCUGGUCUGAGAGGACGACCAGCCACACUGGGACUGAGACACGGCCCAGACUCCUACGGGAGGCAGCAGUGGGGAAUUUUGGACAAUGGGGGCAACCCUGAUCCAGCCAUGCCGCGUGAGUGAAGAAGGCCUUCGGGUUGUAAAGCUCUUUCGCAAGGAAAGAAAACUUAUCUCCUAAUACGAGAUGAGGCUGACGGUACCUUGAUAAGAAGCACCGGCUAACUACGUGCCAGCCGCCGCCGUAA